rnacentral:misc_RNA from 1 species
GGCUUGCUCGAAUUCUUCAUCCCUUUAGUUAUUGGGAUAUCCUCCUCUUCAUCCAAGCUAACUGGAGUGAAUUCCUCAUCAUCCUUGUCUUCUUCAUCAUCGUCCUCGUAAUCAUCUUUGGCAGUGGCCUUAAGCCUCUGUAGCCUGCUUGAAUUCUUCAUCCCUUUCAUUACUGGAAAAUCCUCCUCUUCGUGCCAGCCAUCUGAAUUUAAUUCCUCAUCUUCUUCAUCUUUGACAGUGCCCCUACGUAACCGUCGCUUGCUAGAAUUAUCCGUCCCUUCCAUUACUGGAGACUCUUCUUCUUCAUCAUCUUCAUUAUCCAAGCAAUCUGGUGUGAAAUCCUCGUCCUCAUCUUUAAAAGUGGCCUUACAUAACUGACGCUUGCUAGAAUUAUCCGUCCCUUCCAUUACUGGAGACUCUUCUUCUUCAUCAUCUUCAUUAUCCAAGCAAUCUGGUGUGAAAUCCUCGUCCUCAUCUUUAAAAGUGGCCUUACAUAACUGA